CUCAUACUUGAUCUGGUAUAUGCUCUCCGCCUCAGCCCGGCUGCGGUUGGCGAUCUCCUCGUACUGCGCCUUGACCUCGGCAAUGAUGCCAUCCAUGUCCAGAGAGCGGCUGUUGUCCAUGGACAGCACCACAGACGUGUCGGAGAUCUGGGACUGCAGCUCCCGGAUCUCCUCUUCAUCCAGCUGCCCGAGGAAGUUGAUCUCGUCAGUCAGUCCUUCCAGGUGAGACUCCAGCUCUACCUUGUUCAUGUAAGCUUCAUCCACAUCCUUCUUGAUGAGGACAAAUUCAUUCUCCAUCUCUGUACGCUUAUUGAUCUCUUCCUCAUAUUUGUUCUUGAAGUCCUCCACCAGCCCCUGCAUGUUGCCAAGCUCUGCCUCCAGCUUCAGCUUCUCCUGGCCCAGAGUCUCCAGCUGCCGCCUCAGGUUGUUGAUGUAGUUCUCAAACAUGUUGUCCAUGUUGCUCCUAGCCGUUUUCUGCUGCUGCAGGAGGCUCCACUUGGUCUCCAGCAUCUUGUUCUGCUGCUCCAGGAACCGCACCUUGUCGAUGAAGGAAGCAAACUUGUUGUUGGGGGUCUUGAUCUGCUCCUUCUCCUGGGUACGCACGGCCUGGAUGUUGGGGUCCACAUCCACCUUAAUGGGGUUCAGCAGGCUCUGGUUGAUGGUGACGGCGGUGAUGCCUCCCAUGCCUAUGCCGCUGGCCCCAAAAUAGCCUGCACCCAGGCCACCCCGGAAGCCACUACUGCUCACUCGGGAGAAGCUCAAGUGGGCACUGGGCCCACUCGUUAAGGAGUGGCUGCUGAAGGCCCCGGGGCCAGAGGUGGACACCUUGUAGGACUUAUGGUGGACAUGGUGGAGGCAGGAGUGGAAGCAGGCGGGCUGAACUAGGGAGAGAUUCCAGAAGGAGCGGAGAAGCUGCUUCUUGCUACCUUUUUUUUUUAUUCAGAGACAGGGUCUUUCUUUGUUGCCUAGACUGGAGUACAGUGGCACAAUCACGGCUCCCUGCAGCUUCAACCUCCUGGACUCAAGCC
rnacentral:lncRNA from 13 species